GCGAUUUCUAAUGCGAUUUUCUUCUUCUGAUGGAUGUGAACGUGUGGAUGAGUUAUGAAUGUUGAGAUGAGGGCAUUGAACUAUAAAUAAACUGGAAGGCUAACUCAGGGGGGGGGAUUGAAGCCAGUGCAUUUUAGUUUUUCUGAGUUAUGAGCAGAAAUACUCAACACUGAACGUUGGGCUAUAUAUCAAAUUAAAGCUAUUGAAAAACUCUAUUUGGUGUAGAAAUUUCAAGACUUUAGCUAAAAGGGAAAUAUUGAAAAACUACAAACAUAAUUACCGAUAAUUUGCCGUUUUGCAGUUGUUUUCGUAUUUUUUAAAUAUUUUUCUUUUCGCUGAAG